UACGGAGGAUGCAAGCGUUAUCCGGAUUUAUUGGGUUUAAAGGGUGCGCAGGUUGUUUGAUAAGUCAGUGGUGAAAGUCUGUCGCUUAACGGUAGGAUUGCCAUUGAUACUGUUAGACUUGAAUAUGGAUGAGGCAGGCGGAAUGUGUAAUGUAGCGGUGAAAUGCUUAGAUAUUACACAGAACACCGAUUGCGAAGGCAGCUUGCUGGGUCAUUACUGACGCUGAUGCACGAAAGCGUGGGGAUCAAA
rnacentral:rRNA from 1 species